rnacentral:rRNA from 1 species
GAAGGGGGCUAGCGUUGCUCGGAAUCACUGGCGUAAAGGGCGCGUAGGCGGCGUUUUAAGUCGGGGGUGAAAGCCUGUGGCUCAACCACAGAAUGGCCUUCGAUACUGGGACGCUUGAGUCUGGUAGAGGUUGGUGGAACUGCGAGUGUAGAGGUGAAAUUCGUAGAUAUUCGCAAGAACACCGGUGGCGAAGGCGGCCAACUGGACCGGCACUGACGCUGAGGCGCGAAAGCGUGGGGAGCAAACAGGAUUAGAUACCCUGGUAGUCCACGCUGUAAACGAUGAAUGCUAGCUGUUGGGAUGCAUGCAUCUCAGUAGCGCAGCUAACGCAUUAAGCAUUCCGCCUGGGGAGUACGGUCGCAAGAUUA